rnacentral:rRNA from 1 species
ACGGGAGGCAGCAGUGGGGAAUCUUGGACAAUGGGCGCAAGCCUGAUCCAGCCAUGCCGCGUGAGUGAUGAAGGCCUUAGGGUCGUAAAGCUCUUUCGCCAGAGAUGAUAAUGACAGUAUCUGGUAAAGAAACCCCGGCUAACUCCGUGCCAGCAGCCGCGGUAAUACGGAGGGGGUUAGCGUUGUUCGGAAUUACUGGGCGUAAAGCGUACGUAGGCGGAUUAGUCAGUCAGAGGUGAAAUCCCAGGGCUCAACCCUGGAACUGCCUUUGAUACUGCUAGUCUUGAGUUCGAGAGAGGUGAGUGGAAUUCCAAGUGUAGAGGUGAAAUUCGUAGAUAUUUGGAGGAACACCAGUGGCGAAGGCGGCUCACUGGCUCGAUACUGACGCUGAGGUACGAAAGUGUGGGGAGCAAACAGGAUUAGAUACCCUGGUAGUCCACACCGUAAACGAUGAAUGCCAGUCGUCGGGCAGUAUACUGUUCGGUGACACACCUAACGGAUUAAGCAUUCCGCCUGGGGAGUACGGUCGCAAGAUUA